rnacentral:rRNA from 1 species
AUUGAACGCUGGCGGCAGGCCUAACACAUGCAAGUCGAGCGGAGCAGCGGACGGGUGAGUGAUGCCUAGGAAUCUGCCUGGUAGUGGGGGAUAACGUCCGGAAACGGGCGCUAAUACCGCAUCCUAUCAGAUGAGCCUAUGUCGGAUUAGCUAGUUGGUGGGGUAAAGGCCAACCAAGGCGACGAACCGUAACUGUUCCGAGAGGAUGAUCAGUCACACUGGGACUGAGAAACGUUCGAGACUCCUACGGGGGGCAGCAGUGGGGAAUAUUUGACAAUGUGCGAAAGCCUGAUCCAGCCAUGCCGCGUGUGUGAAGAAGGUCUUCGGAUUGUAAAGCACUUUAAGUUGGGAGGCGUUACCAGCAGAAUAAGCACCGGCUAACUUCGUGCCAGCAGCCGCGGUAAUAC